rnacentral:other from 1 species
CUUAACCUGGAGGGUUUGUGCAAGUAAGUAUUAUUUUGAGCCAACAUUUACCUCUUGGGAGCCGCUGUGUAUCUCUGGUGUGCAGGCCUCUUAUACAAGAGGAAGCCUAAAGGAGAUACUUUGGCGCCCACCUAUACAAAAGGGGUUCAAAAUAUCUUACUGUACGGCCCUCCGGGUUUUUA